AAUGACACGAUCACUCCCGGUUAAAGCUGACAAGAAUUUACCGGGAAACUCGUGUCAACCA
rnacentral:pre_miRNA from 1 species